rnacentral:rRNA from 1 species
CAAUAGCGUAUAUUAAAGUUGUUGCGGUUAAAAGCUCGUAGUUGGAUUUCUGCUUCGAGAACCUGGUCCCGUUCUUAACGGAGAAUCUAGUGUUAUCGAGGCAUCCACUCGAAAACUGUAUUUGUGCUUGAUUGCAUGGUGCAGAGUUCGAGUCAUUUACUUUGAGGAAAUUAGAGUGUUCAUAGCAAGCUAUCGCUUUGAAUAUCGUAGCAUGGAAUAAUAAGAUAAGACUGAGUUUUUAUUUUAUUGGUUUCUAAGAAUUCAGUAAUGGUAAAUAGGAUUUGUCGGGGGUACUAGUAUUAACGCGUCAGAGGUGGAAUUCUUGGAUUGCGUUACGACUAACUACUGCGAAAGCAUUUACCAAGGAUGUUUUCAUUGAUCAAGAACGAAAGUUUGGGGAUCGAAGACGAUCAGAUACCAU